CAGCAGCCACGGUAAAACGUAGGUGGCGAGCGUUGUCCGGAAUUAUUGGGCGUAAAGGGAGCGCAGGCGGGCGAGUAAGUCUUUCUUAAAAGUGCGGGGCUCAACCCCGUGAGGGGAGAGAAACUACUCAUCUUGAGUGCAGGAGAGGAAAGCGGAAUUCCUAGUGUAGCGGUGAAAUGCGUAGAUAUUAGGAAGAACACCAGUGGCGAAGGCGGCUUUCUGGACUGUAACUGACGCUGAGGCUCGAAAGCCAGGGGAGCGAACGGGAUUAGAGACCCCCGUAGUCCCUGUCUCUUAUACC
rnacentral:rRNA from 1 species